UUAACGCUGAGGUGUGAUGACGAGGCACUACGGUGCUGAAGUGAUAAAUGCCCUGCUUCCAGGAAAAGCCUCUAAGCAUCAGGUAACACGAAAUCGUACCCCAAACCGACACAGGUGGUCAGGUAGAGAAUACCAAGGCGCUUGAGAGAACUCGGGUGAAGGAACUAGGCAAAAUGGUGCCGUAACUUCGGGAGAAGGCACGCUGAUAGGUAGGUGAAGUCCCUGCGGACGGAGCUGAAAUCAGUCGAAGAUACCAGCUGGCUGCAACUGUUUAUUAAAAACACAGCACUGUGCAAACACGAAAGUGGACGUAUACGGUGUGACGCCUGCCCGGUGCCGGAAGGUUAAUUGAUGGGGUUAGCGGCAACGCGAAGCUCUUGAUCGAAGCCCCGGUAAACGGCGGCCGUAACUAUAACGGUCCUAAGGUAGCGAAAUUCCUUGUCGGGUAAGUUCCGACCUGCACGAAUGGCGUAAUGAUGGCCAGGCUGUCUCCACCCGAGACUCAGUGAAAUUGAACUCGCUGUGAAGAUGCAGUGUACCCGCGGCAAGACGGAAAGACCCCGUGAACCUUUACUAUAGCUUGACACUGAACACUGGUCCUUGAUGUGUAGGAUAGGUGGGAGGCUUUGAAGCGUGGACGCCAGUCUGCGUGGAGCCAUCCUUGAAAUACCACCCUUUAAUGGCUGGUGUUCUAACGUAGACCCGUGAUCCGGGUUGCGGACAGUGUCUGGUGGGUAGUUUGACUGGGGCGGUCUCCUCCCAAAGAGUAACGGAGGAGCACGAAGGUUGGCUAAUCCUGGUCGGACAUCAGGAGGUUAGUGCAAUGGCAUAAGCCAGCUUGACUGCGAGCGUGACGGCGCGAGCAGGUGCGAAAGCAGGUCAUAGUGAUCCGGUGGUUCUGAAUGGAAGGGCCAUCGCUCAACGGAUAAAAGGUACUCCGGGGAUAACAGGCUGAUACCGCCCAAGAGUUCAUAUCGACGGCGGUGUUUGGCACCUCGAUGUCGGCUCAUCACAUCCUGGGGCUGAAGUAGGUCCCAAGGGUAUGGCUGUUCGCCAUUUAAAGUGGUACGCGAGCUGGGUUUAGAACGUCGUGAGACAGUUCGGUCCCUAUCUGCCGUGGGCGCUGGAGAAUUGAGGGGGGCUGCUCCUAGUACGAGAGGACCGGAGUGGACGCAUCACUGGUGUUCGGGUUGUCAUGCCAAUGGCA
rnacentral:rRNA from 1 species